UACGUAGGCAGCGAGCGUUGUUCGGAAUUACUGGGCGUAAAGCGUGCGUAGACGGUAGCGUAAGUCAGAUGUGAAAGCCCCGGGCUCAACCUGGGAAUUGCAUUUGAGACUGCUCUGCUCGGGUGCGGAAGAGGGAAGCGGAAUUUCCGGUGUAGCGGUGAAAUGCGUAGAUAUCGGAAGGAACACCAGUGGCGAAAGCGGCUUCCUGGUCCGACACCGACGUUCAGGCACGAAAGCGUGGGGAGCAAACAGG
rnacentral:rRNA from 1 species